rnacentral:rRNA from 1 species
AACGAACGCUGGCGGCAGGCUUAACACAUGCAAGUCGAGCGCAUACUCCGUGGUUAGCGGCGGACGGGUGAGUAACGCGUGGUAACUUGCCCUCUUCUACCGAAUAGCCUCGGGAAACUUAACGUAAUGCCGCAGACGCCCACAACGGGAAAGAUUUAUCGGAGGAGGAUCGGCCCUCGUUGGUUUAGGUGGUUGGUGGGGUAACGGCCUACCAAGCCGACGAUACCUAGCUGGUUAGAGAGGAUGAUCAUCCACACUGGGACGGAGACACAGCCCAGACUCCUACGGGAGGGAGCAGUGGGGAAUCUUGGACAAUGGGGGCAAACGUGAUCCAGCCGUGCGGCGUGAGAGAUGAAGGCCUUAGGGAUGUAAAGAUCUUUCAGCUGGGAAGAUAAUGACGGUACCAGGAGAAGAAGCCCCGGCUAACUACGUG